rnacentral:misc_RNA from 1 species
GAAAAACUCAGCGAAAAUAUCAUCAGCGUCCCGCGGAUUGAACCGGAACACCGACGGCCCGUCCCCGCCGGUGGAGUAGAACGUCGCCCCACCGGGGCCAGCGCCACCGGCCCCUGGCGGGGGCACCUGGCCCUUGAGACCCUCCUCGCCGUACUGAUCGUACACAGCCCGCUUCUGCGGAUCGCUCAGGACCUCGUAGGCUUCGGAGAUCUGCUUGAACUUGGCCUCGGCUUCCUUCUUGUUGUUGGGGUUCUUGUCGGGGUGCCAUUUCAUGGCGAGCUUGCGAUAGGCUUUCUUCAGGUCGUCCUCGCU